AGUGAACGCUGGCGGUAGGCCUAACACAUGCAAGUCGAACGGCAGCACAGUAAGAGCUUGCUCUUACGGGUGGCGAGUGGCGGACGGGUGAGGAAUACAUCGGAAUCUACUUUUUCGUGGGGGGUAACGUAGGGAAACUUACGCUAAUACCGCAUACGACCUACGGGUGAAAGCAGGGGAUCUUCGGACCUUGCGCGAUUGUAUGAGCCGAUGUCGGAUUAGCUAGUUGGCGGGGUAAAUGCCCACCAAGGCGACGAUCCGUAGCUGGUCUGAGAGGAUGAUCCGCCACACUGGAACUGAGACACGGUCCAGACUCCUACGGGAGGCAGCAGUGGGGAAUAUUGGACCAUGGGCGCAAGCCUGAUCCAGCCAUAACGCGUGGGUGAAGAAGCCCUUCGGGUUGUAAAGCCCUUUUGUUGGGAAAGAAAAGCAGCAGGUUAAUACCACGCUGUUCUGACGGUACCCAAAGAAUAAGCACCGGCUAACUUCGUG
rnacentral:rRNA from 1 species